rnacentral:tRNA from 1 species
CAAAAAAUUAGUUAAUAUAUAACCUUAGCUUGUCAAGCUUAAAUAACUUCAAGUAUUUUUUGUC